rnacentral:rRNA from 1 species
CCCUUAGAUGUUCUGGGCCGCACGCGCGCUACACUGAUGCAUUCAACGAGCCUAUCCUUGACCGACAGGUCCGGGUAAUCUUUGAAUCUGCAUCGUGACGGGGAUAGAUUAUUGCAAUUAUUAAUCUUCAACGAGGAAUGCCUAGUAGGCGCAAGUCAUCAGCUUGCGUCGAUUACGUCCCUGCCCUUUGUACACACCGCCCGUCGCACCUACCGAUUGAAUGGUCCGGUGAAAUCUUCGGAUUGAGACUUUGAUUUCUUCACGGAAAACGCUGUUUUAAGAAGUUGAUUAAACCUUACCAUUUAGAGGAAGGUGAAGUCGUAACA